rnacentral:rRNA from 1 species
AGAGUUUGAUCCUGGCUCAGGAUGAACGCUAGCGACAGGCUUAACACAUGCAAGUCGAGGGGCAGCGGGGGUAGCAAUACCCGCCGGCGACCGGCGCACGGGUGAGUAACGCGUAUGCAACUUACCUAUCAGAGGGGGAUAACCCGGCGAAAGUCGGACUAAUACCGCAUGAAGCAGGGGCCCCGCAUGGGGAUAUUUGCUAAAGAUUCAUCGCUGAUAGAUAGGCAUGCGUUCCAUUAGGCAGUUGGCGGGGUAACGGCCCACCAAACCGACGAUGGAUAGGGGUUCUGAGAGGAAGGUCCCCCACAUUGGUACUGAGACACGGACCAAACUCCUACGGGAGGCAGCAGUGAGGAAUAUUGGUCAAUGGACGCAAGUCUGAACCAGCCAUGCCGCGUGCAGGAUGACGGCUCUAUGAGUUGUAAACUGCUUUUGUACGAGGGUAAACGCAGAUACGUGUAUCUGUCUGAAAGUAUCGUACGAAUAAGGAUCGGCUAACUCCGUGCCAGCAGCCGCGGUAAUACGGAGGAUUCAAGCGUUAUCCGGAUUUAUUGGGUUUAAAGGGUGCGUAGGCGGUUUGAUAAGUUAGAGGUGAAAUUUCGGGGCUCAACCCUGAACGUGCCUCUAAUACUGUUGAGCUAGAGAGUAGUUGCGGUAGGCGGAAUGUAUGGUGUAGCGGUGAAAUGCUUAGAGAUCAUACAGAACACCGAUUGCGAAGGCAGCUUACCAAACUAUAUCUGACGUUGAGGCACGAAAGCGUGGGGAGCAAACAGGAUUAGAUACCCUGGUAGUCCACGCAGUAAACGAUGAUAACUCGUUGUCGGCGAUACACAGUCGGUGACUAAGCGAAAGCGAUAAGUUAUCCACCUGGGGAGUACGUUCGCAAGAAUGAAACUCAAAGGAAUUGACGGGGGCCCGCACAAGCGGAGGAACAUGUG